GAUGAACGCUGGCGGCGUGCCUAAUACAUGCAAGUCGAACGCAUUGUGGUUGAAAUGAUAUGAAGAACUUGUUCAGAUUUGAUUUUCAACAUUGCAAUGAGUGGCGAACGGGUGAGUAACACGUGGGAAACCUACCUCUUAGCAGGGGAUAACAUUUGGAAACAAAUGCUAAUACCGUAUAAUAAUUAAAACCGCAUGGUUUUAGUUUAAAAGAUGGUCUUGCUAUCACUAAGAGAUGGUCCCGCGGUGUAUUAGUUAGUUGGUGAGGUAAUGGCUCACCAAGACAAUGAUACAUAGCCGAGUUGAGAGACUGACGGCCACAAUGGACGUGAGACACGGCCCAUACUCCUACGGACGGCAGCAGUA
rnacentral:rRNA from 1 species